GGCGUGCUUAACACAUUCAAGUCGAACGAUGACGGCCGUGCUUGCACGGUCUGAUUAGAGGCGAACGGGUGAGUAACACGUGAGUAACCUGCCCUCCACUUCGGGAUAACCUCGGGAAAUCGUGGCUAAUACCGGAUAUGAGCACUCAUCGCAUGGUGGGUGUUGGAAAGAUUUAUCGGUGGGGGAUGGACUCGCGGCCUAUCAGUUUGUUGGUGAGGUGAUGGCUCACCAAGACGAUGACGGGUAGCCGGCCUGAGAGGGCGACCGGCCACACUGGGACUGAGACACGGCCCAGACUCCUACGGGAGGCAGCAGUGGGGAAUAUUGCACAAUGGGCGGAAGCCUGAUGCAGCGACGCCGCGUGAGGGAUGACGGCCUUCGGGCUGUAAACCUCUUUCAGUAGGGAAGAAGCGAAAGUGACGGUACCUGCAGAAGAAGCGCCGGCUAACUACGUGCCAGCAGCCGCGGUAAUACGUAGGGCGCAAGCGUUGUCCGGAAUUAUUGGGCGUAAAGAGCUUGUAGGUGGCUUGUCGCGUCUGCCGUGAAAACCCGAGGCUCAACCUCGGGCGUGCGGUGGGUACGGGCAGGCUAGAGUGUGGUAGGGGA
rnacentral:rRNA from 1 species